CAGACCACAGUGUAGGAGGAGGGAGGGAGAGACUGCAGUUUGACAGGAGAGAAUGAGAGACAGACCAUUGUGUAGGAGGGAGAGAGGUUGCAGUUUGAGAGGAGAGAAGUAGAAACUGAGCACAUUGUAAGAGGAGGGAGAAGAGGGAGGGAGAGAGGUUGCAGUUUGAGAGGAGAGAAGUAGAAACAGAGCACAGUGUAAGAGGAGGGAGAAGAGGGAGGGAGAGAGAGUGCAGUUCGUGAGAAGAGGAGACAGGAAGGCAGAGAUACUGUGGCUGUGCAGUGUCGUGACAGCACAUCAGCACCAGGGUUUCCUCCUUUGAAAGAAAACCUUAAUCAUGCCCUGCAGUCGAGCAACGUAGCCACAGGUAAACACCCGUGUAAGAAAAAAAAAAUCCGAACUCCAGUGUGACACCCAGAGAACUGGAAAUAGCUUUAAAAGAGGCAUCUUGGAUAGCCUGACAAGCAAACGCAUACAUUAGAAAGAUACCGUUAACUAGCCAGGAAAAAAACCUAACGACGCAGCUGAACCCUGUUUAUUUCUGCAGCUAUGUGGGAUGCGGUUUCAAUGGGAUUAAUUUAACCCUGAAACCUGUUGCGAGCGCUUUUUUAAAAGUAACGCCACAUUAAGCCGGGAAGGAUGUAGAGCGCGGGGACGCUAACUAGGUUAAUCGGCAUUAACAUCAUCUUUUUUUAAUGCUCCCCGUUUCACCACUUACUUGAGCUAAAAAAAGAAAUAACAACAACGCAACGUGCAUGAAAACGAACCACUCCAUGUCCGACAGCAACCAACGACGACAACACUGCAUUUGAACAGCGUUUUUAUUUUGCUCAUGUCAACCAACGCUAAUCUUGAAGGUUCCGGGAAUCUACGUUUCCUUGUUGCCACGCCCCUUUGCAGUUUUUUUUCCACCUGCGUUUGGUAAGAAAUGAGCCGAGCUUUGGCUACCUCCCUGCAAUCUUCGUCUCUUUAUAAAUCUGCAGGGUGGAUGUGGUUAACCUGCAUCUGCUGGUUUCCUUCCAUUUACUUUCCAUUCACUCUGCUGAGAAUACCAUCUACAAAAUAAGAGGGGACGCAAGUUAUGGUAUAUAAUUUUUUUUUUUUUUUUUUUUUUUUACAGCUCACAAUUGCCCUUACAAAAACUUCCUGAUACUUGGUAAGUGAACAAUCCAGACAGCAACUCGAAGACAACACCAAAUCAUUAACACAACAGGAAAUAUUUGCUGACCCGUGAACCUGUGUAAACCAGCUUUGUGCCAAAGCAGACGCCCCCAUACCUACAGAAACGUGGACACGAGCGCACUGCAGACAACGCCAUGUGCCGUGCCUGCUACACUUAAGGAGGACAUUUCUGGCUCAGAGCAUGUUCUGUACCCUGUGCCCUCCCUCCCAUCGCCCGCUACCGCCGGCGUCAGUCGCUUCGACCUUGCUGCCAGGUUACGGAAUUCCACUGCACCAGGUACUCGUCCCAGGGGGGCUUUUUUUUUUCUUCUUCUUCCGACGAGGGCGAGACACCGUUGAGAGGCCCGGGGACGGGGACGGGGACGGUCGAGCUGCAGAGCGCAGGGCCACCGCAGGGCCUGUGGAGACGGAGACGGCUGCACCCUGAGACGGGCGUGUUCGCGGCACCGCCAAACCGCCGCGCGCCACGCUGCGCUGCUCAGUAAUCAGCGGGCGGCUCCCGCGUGCAUGUUUAAAGUCAAGUCGCCGCCAUGACCCCGAUUUGCGAUGCUCAACAUGAAACGCAGUCCCUUCGGUUACACGGGCCUGCUUAUCAGGCACAGUCAUUUCUGUUCAUGAAUUUGUUUUGUGCACAAGCUGACAUCAGCAAAUCACGGGGAUCACCUCCGUCAGCUAAGAUGACCGUGGUGGACAGGCAAGAGCGUGGAAGCAGCCUGGGCAGCGGCCCCCUGCACACGGGCCUUUUCUUUGCAGAUGUUUUUUUGGUUUCGCUCUUUUAGGCUUCUCUUUUACACAGCUGGUUCAGCUGGGAGCGGAGGACAAGCCCGCAAACUGGGUCAUUGAUCGAUGCUACACCCACACACACUCUCUCUCUCUCUCUCUCUCACACACACACGCACAUGCACACACACUCUCUCUCUCUCUCUCUCUCACACGCACGCACAUGCACACACACUCACUCUCUCUCUCUCUCACACACAAACACACACACACGCACACAAGCAUAAAUGUGUGGGCACAUGUGCACACAUCCACAAGCACGCACAAACACAAAGACACACAAACACACAAAGACACACGCACGAAUGCACACACACACAGACGCACAAACGUACACACAGACUAUAUGAGCAGAAGUGAGGUUUGUAAUAUUAUGACCUUAUUCCAAGGUCUGGGAGUGUAAGUGUCAAAAAUUCUAAUGAAUUUGAGGUAUGGAUUAUUUAUUUGUAUUUUUUUGCAGUCAUCUCAGGAAGUAUUUUUUGGUCAGAUUAGCAUUAAUUCAUGGAACAGAUUGCCAGAUCUUGAAAGAACGACAGACCCUUGGAGUAUUCAAGACCAGGCCUGACACAGUGCUAGACGCUCUGUUGACAGGAUUAUUUUCUUAGGUUCUUACUUUUUCCUCACAGUGCCAGCCAUUUACAAAUCCUACAGUCUAGACUGAAGAGCAAGCUGUUCUUUUACGAGGUGCCAGCUGUGUUCUAUACACUGUUGCAAUCAUCGUGUCGUACCCCUAAUACACACCUCUCAUAUGAGACCAUAUCGAAUGAAAAAAGUAAGAAAUUAAACUCUGUCAACUCUUUCACAGAAACCAUAGUUUUAAAAACAGGAAAAAAGAAAAAAGAAGGCAACUAGACGUGCAACCAGCUUUAACACCCCCACAGCCUUUGUCAUUUUGUUAAAGAGCCGCACAGAGCCAAACCACAGUUUUACACCUCUUCUGCACACCCACAGAUGCAUGCAAAUGUCACCCACCCGUUCCUCUCACUUACUUUACACUAAAAUGUAAAAAAAAGAAGUAAAACAGGUUAAUUACUGUACAGCAUAUAGCAGCUCAAUAUAAUGGAUAACUGUAGCCUAGUUCACUCCACUGUCAUUGACCUACAAUGACAAUGAAAUGUUUGAAAGUUGGCUCUUCAACCUUCAAAGGAUCAAUUUCGUUUGGAUGCCAUUUAGCUGAAAACAAUAAGUAUCCAGUCACUGUGUUACUUUCCCGCAAACUAAUUUUCUGACAUUUGAAUGACUCAUACUCUCCAAAACUCAAAUGAAUCAAUUACUUUAGUGUGUCCCCCACAAGUCUCGCACAACCACAGAAGGUCAGAAUGUCACAGACACAUGUGAUAUCCACUUGCAUGUUAAAAAUGGAUUUAUCUGUGGCCAGUUUCCGAUAUGAGCUGAAUUAAUGA